GGGCAGGGCGUGCCGCGGGUGGCACAUGCGCCUUGCGUUGGGAGUCGACGAGGACGACGCCGCAGGUGGGCAAUAUGGGAAGGAGGCCGAGGACCAUCGCCGGCGCUGGGCGCCGCCGGCCAAAGGGCGUUGCUCUAUAGGGAGCCGCAUCCCGUUGUACGCCAAGGCGAUGCCGAGUGCUGUUGCUGGCAAUGGGCUCGAGCACGGGAAGGGCCUCGCCGGGGAAAGACUUGCUUCGUGGAUUCCUGUUGAUGGUAAAACAAAUAUUUUAUAGUCA
rnacentral:lncRNA from 1 species